rnacentral:rRNA from 1 species
AAUCAACGCUGGCGGCGUGCCUAACACAUGCAAGUCGAGCGAGAAAAGGGGGGCAACUCCCUGAGUACAGCGGCGCACGGGUGAGUAACACGUGGGUAAUCUGCCCUGGAGUGGGGAAUAACACCGGGAAACCGGUGCUAAUACCGCAUACGAUAACGAGGUCUGCGGAACUUGUUAUGAAAGGAGCAAUUCGCUCCAGGAGGAGCCCGCGGCUGAUUAGCUAGUUGGUGAGGUAAUGGCUCACCAAGGCUACGAUCAGUAUCCGGUCUGAGAGGACGGUCGGACACACUGGAACUGAGACACGGUCCAGACUCCUACGGGAGGCAGCAGUGGGGAAUUUUUGGCAAUGGGGGAAACCCUGACCAAGCAACGCCGCGUGGGUGAUGAAGUCUCUUGGGACGUAAAACCCUUUCGACGGGGAAGAAACCGCAAGGUUGACGGUACCCGUAGAAGAAGCCCCGGCUAACUCCGUGCCAGCCGCCGCGGUAACAC